GACGAACGCUGGCGGCGUGCUUAACACAUGCAAGUCGAACGGAAAGGCCCUGCUUUUGUGGGGUGCUCGAUUGGCGAACGGGUGAGUAACACGUGAGUAACCUGCCCUUGACUUUGGGAUAACUUCAGGAAACUGGGGCUAAUACCGGAUAGGAGCUCCUGCUGCAUGGUGGGGGUUGGAAAGUUUCGGCGGUAGGGGAUGGACUCGCGGCUUAUCAGCUUGUUGGUGGGGUAGUGGCUUACCAAGGCUUUGACGGGUAGCCGGCCUGAGAGGGUGACCGGCCACAUUAGGACUGAGAUACGGCGCAGACUCCUACGGGAGGCAGCAGUGGGGAAUAUUGCACAAUGGGCGGAAGCCUGAUGCAGCGACGCCGCGUGCGGGAUGACGGCCUUCGGGUUGUAAACCGCUUUCGCCUGUGACGAAGCGUGAGUGACGGUAAUGGGUAAAGAAGCACCGGCUAACUACGUG
rnacentral:rRNA from 1 species